rnacentral:lncRNA from 1 species
UAACACCACAUGAUUCCAAAUUCCAAAAACACUUCCCCACAUUAUAGAACUAUACCCAUCUUCAAAAUUUCAACUUUCAAACAAAAACUAAUACUUCAUCUGUAGAUUUUCUACCAUAACCAACAAGAUAAUAGAGAAAAAUGGUCUUACUGGAUAAUGUGUGUUCAUUGUGUUGUAUCUGCAGGCCUGCAAAUAACACCCAUGAAAUCAAAUUAGCAGAAUUCAAAAAAUUAAAAAAAAAAAAAUGAAAGAAGAAAAAAAAAGGGCUGGAGGACUACCUCUAAAAUUUGUUCCAACAUAUCCAACUCUCAUUACAACCUUUUUCUUGAGGAACGGUUCCCAUUUCUGAGAAAGGGUUGGAAGAGAGUGAGUCGAAGAGCAGAAGCAGUUGAAGAGAGUUGGAGGCAAAAGCAGAUAUGGCAGCGAACAAGAAGGGAAUAACAUUGAUGCCAAAGUGGAUAUUUUGCUUUCUCUUACACGAGUUGGAAUUGAAAGAAAGUGUGGGAAAGAAGAAACAUAGUUAUUCAUCAUUUUCGAAACUUUCUUAGAUAAUGACCCCUUACCUCAUCUUCUAAACCCUAACCCCCCCAAAAAAAAACAUAAAAAACAACAACAAUAGGCUUAGAUAGUGAUCCCUUACCUCACUUCCGUGCGAUGUUGAACUACCACCUUCAAUCAAUCACCAAUGCCGUUAGCAAGAAUCACCAGAAAUGAACAACAAUGGCGUUCUCUCCAAUCGCGA